rnacentral:rRNA from 1 species
CUCCUUCGAGCCUAGGAGGUUGAUAGGUUGGGGGUGUAAGGGCUGCGAGGCCUUUAGCUGACCAAUACUAAUAAGUCGAAGUUUUAACCUUGAAUUUACUAUAUAGUUUC